GACGAACGCUGGCGGCGUGCUUAACACAUGCAAGUCGAACGGAAAGGCCCUGCUUUUGUGGGGUGCUCGAGUGGCGAACGGGUGAGUAACACGUGAGUAACCUGCCCUUGACUUUGGGAUAACUUCAGGAAACUGGGGCUAAUACCGGAUAGGAGCUCCUGCUGCAUGGUGGGGGUUGGAAAGUUUCGGCGGUUGGGGAUGGACUCGCGGCUUAUCAGCUUGUUGGUGGGGUAGUGGCUUACCAAGGCUUUGACGGGUAGCCGGCCUGAGAGGGUGACCGGCCACAUUGGGACUGAGAUACGGCCCAGACUCCUACGGGAGGCAGCAGUGGGGAAUAUUGCACAGUGGGCGGAAGCCUGAUGCAGCAACGCCGCGUGCGGGAUGACGGCCUUCGGGUUGUAAACCGCUUCCGCCUGUGACGAAGCGUGAGUGACGGUAAUGGGUAAAGAAGCACCGGCUAACUACGUG
rnacentral:rRNA from 1 species